rnacentral:rRNA from 1 species
GACGAACGCUGGCGGCGUGCUUAACACAUGCAAGUCGAACGGAAAGGCCCUGCUUUUGUGGGGUGCUCGAGUGGCGAACGGGUGAGUAACACGUGAGUAACCUGCCCUUGACUUUGGGAUAACUUCAGGAAACUGGGGCUAAUACCGGAUAGGAGCUCCUGCUGCAUGGUGGGGGUUGGAAAGUUUCGGCGGUUGGGGAUGGACUCGCGGCUUAUCAGCUUGUUGGUGGGGUAGUGGCUUACCAAGGCUUUGACGGGUAGCCGGCCUGAGAGGGUGACCGGCCACAUUGGGCUUGAGCUACGGCCCAGCCCACUACGGGAGGCAGGAGUGGGGAAGAUUGUACUAUGGGAGGAAGCCAGAUGCAGCCACGCCGCGUGCGGGAUGACGGCCUUCGUGUUGUAAACCGCUUUCGCCUGUGACGAAGCGUGAGUGACGGUAAUGGGUAAAGAAGCACCGGCUAACUACGUG